rnacentral:rRNA from 1 species
UACGUAGGCAGCGAGCGUUGUUCGGAAUUACUGGGCGUAAAGAGUGUGUAGGCGGUGCUCCCAGUCUGUUGUGAAAUCUCCCGGCUUAACUGGGAGGGUGCAGCGGAAACUAGAGUGCUAGAGGGUGGGAGAGGUAAGCGGAAUUCCUGGUGCGUAGCGGUGAAAUGCGUAGAUAUCAGGAGGAACACCUGUGGUGUAGACAGCUUACUGGACCACUUCUGACGCUGAGACACGAAAGCGUGGGUAGCAAACAGG